rnacentral:misc_RNA from 1 species
UCGACAUGUAAAGCUGUGUAGUCCCCCGCUGCAUUCCCAACAAUUUUACUGUCAAGAACAACCUUCGGUUUUACUGCCCACAUUUUGGUUUGGCUUCCCAUCUGCAUUGUAUUUGUGUGGACAUUAUCCAAAAUGCUUAAACUGAUUGAAUUACCACAAACGUUCAUCUUACAGAGCUUUCCACUAUACUCCCCCAAGAUCCCACGAGAAUCAUAGUUUUGAAGGAGCUGUGACCUCUCCUUUGUUAGAUCAAAAGCAAGAAUACUACCUGAAGUGGUCAUCCAGUAAACAACACCAUUCACAUGAAGCCCUGAUUUUGG